rnacentral:rRNA from 1 species
AAACGUGAAGAACCUUACCCGGGCUUGAAUUGCAGAGGAAGGAUUUGGAGACAAUGACGCCCUUCGGGGUCUCUGUGAAGGUGCUGCAUGGUUGUCGUCAGCUCGUGCCGUGAGGUGUCGGUUUAAGGGCCAGAACGAGCGCAACCCCUAUCCUUAGUUGCCAUCAGGUUAAGCUGGGCAUUCUGGGGACACUGCCACGGUAAAACGGGAGGAAGGUGGGGAUGACGUCAAUUCACCACGCCCCUUAGGUCUGGGGUUACACACGUGUUACAAUGGCUGGUACAAAGAGAAGGUAGUCCGCGAGGUGGAUCAAAUCCCAAAAACCAGUUUCCAGUUCGGAUGGGGGGGUGCAACUGACCCCCAGGAAGUGGGAAUGGUUAGUAUUGGGCAUCAAGCAUGGC